rnacentral:lncRNA from 1 species
UUGGUGCGACCAAAAUAGAAAUGUCUAAUAUUUAGAGUGAAUAACAGGAGUGUAAUAGGCCAUUUUUGGCCCGGACCAGAGACCCAAAAAGAAACAGAAAAUAAAAACCAAAAUAAACAAAAAUAAAAAUUCAAAAUCAACAGUCCAAAUGUCCAUUACAAGCCCAAUUUAUAAAAUGCAAAAAAAAAACCCUAGGCUCAAAUGGCCCAAAACCAAAAACAUUCUCAGUCAAAGACUAAAAACCUAACUGCUAGGUGCGCCGCUGCCCUCGCCACAGCCUCUACAUCGACUCCGUACACAGUUGGCCUAUGGCCUCCGUACCUGCAAACCAAAGAAAAUAGAACGCGACAGCAACAAAGAAACAAACAAAUUUUGUAAUCUGCCUAUAAAAGAAUCACUAGGCAUUUUGUUUUUUUUUUUACGCACAACAUAGAAAUCAAAAUACAAAAACAGCAUUCAGAACAAAGAUUCUUUUCUAAAAGGUGGUUUUUUAUUUUUUAUUUUUUCUUUUCAUUCCUUUUUUAUUUCGUUUAUUUUUAAAGAAAACAAAAAAAAUAAAAGAAGAGAAUCGAAACCUUACCGUUGUUCUCGCAUCGUGCCGCCGUAGGUGGCCGAGGUUUGUCGAUUUCGAUGAAAAUCGACUUCCAAUGGGUUCGAAGACUCAAAAAACAAAAAAAAAAAGAUUUUUUAUUUUAUUUUUUCAGCCACCACGGUGGUUCGGUGACCGGAGUAUGGUCGGCCAUGGGGGCAUUGGAAAGAGGAGUUGAGAGAGUUUUUCAAAAAAUUUUAUUUUGAAGGCUGAAAAUGAAUUUUU